UAGCAUGCAACAGUUAUAUGCAUCAUUUGACUGGCUGUGGGGUUGUACAGUUAAAAGCUUAGUAUUUUUGCUCAUACAAGGAACAGAUUCAGUUCAAUUAAUUUAGCUCUAAUGGCGGUAUCAGUAAAACGUGGAAGUGUGCAGUUUUGUUGUACAUACUCCCCUAUUUGUACCAGUUCAGUUAAUUCAACUCUAAUUACGUUAUGUGUAAAACAUGGAAGAGUUGUUCGCUGGGGUUCUUUUCCCCUCUCCUUUAAUGCAUAAUAGGCAUACUCGGGCGUAUUCUAGAAAACAAAAUAUAUACUCCCCUAUAUAUGCCCUUCUUACCCUUUCUUAAAAAUAACUUGAUAUGUACAAGCAAAUAAUUACUUCCUGUAGAUCUCCUUCCAUGUGUUAUUUACUUGCUCUUUUUUCCUUUCACUUCUCUUGACCUAUUUUUUGGUGCACUGACAUGGUGUCUUCAGUGGAAAAUUCUGAUGCUUCUAUGCUUUUAUGACUGCAUAAUAUUUUAAAUAUGAUUUAACAUAUGUUCUUUUCUCAUGGAAAAUCAAGUUAUAAGUAGCUUAAAUGCUUAUUGUUGUUGGCUUGAGAUCUAUGGGUUCUCUCUUAGUAAUUAAGCACAUCAACUUCUUCGAUUGAGAGAAGGAUCCAUGUUUCCAUGUUCUUUCUGAAGUUAAAUUGGCAUUACAAAUUUUGUGAUCAAUAGCUUUUAGAAUAAAAAGGUUGCUCAAGCUACUCUUCAUCAACUUUGCACAUAUCACGGUAUAGUCAUCGACGACCGUGUAAACUAGAGGAAUUUGAAGAAUAUUGUAUGCAUGUAUUACAACCCAUAGGGCGCAUAUAUAUAGAGCUACAGAGCAAUCCUAUACUUGUCCUCCAAGAGCUAAUCCUAGUUAAAAGGAAAGGAUAGAUAUGGAGGUAGAGAUAGGAAGCUAAAGAUUACAUCACGUAUAUAUGCUAAUACAUGCUAACUUAUUCUUACACCCCCCCGCAGUUGAAGCGUCCUCAGAGUAGAUGCCAAGACUCGAUCGAAAAGCUUCAAAUGAAGAAGUAGGAAGCCCCUUGGUCAUGAUGUCUGCAAGUUGAUGAGUUGUUGGGACGUGAACAACACGAAACUGCCCCAAAGCCACCUUCUCGCGUACAAAAUGAAUGUCUAACUCAAUGUGCUUCGUUCGACGAUGAUGAACGGGGUUAACAGAGAGGUAUACCGCAGAGAUAUUAUCACAGAACACCACGGAAGCCUUGUCAACGACACAAUGGAGCUCGACAAGAAGUUGACGAAGCCAGCAACAUUCGGCCACGGCAUUGGCCACCGCACGGUAUUCGGCUUCAGCACUUGAGCGAGAGACAGUAGGUUGGCGUUUGGAAGACCAAGACACCAAAGUGUCUCCGAGAUAAAUGCAAUAUCCUGAAGUAGACCGGCGAGUAUCCGGACAGCCAGCCCAAUCAGCAUCCGAAUAAGCAGCAAUGGCGAUGGAGGAACUACUAGUGAUCCGAACCUCGUGGGAAGUAGUGCCUCGAAGAUAGCGAAGUAAGCGCUUGAUCAAUCCCCAAUGAACAUCACGCGGAGCAUGCAUAUGCAAACAAAUCUGCUGGACAGCAUAGGCGAUGUCUGGGUGUGUCAAGGUGAGGUAUUGAAGAGCACCGGCAAUACUUCGGUAGAAGGUGGCAUCCGACACAAGCUCACCAGAGGUAGCCGAGACCUUGGGCUUCGUGUCAACAGGCGUGGAGACCGGCUUACAAUUAGACAUAGCAGCGCGGUCAAGAAGCUCCUUGGCAUAUCUCUCUUGAGAGAGAAAGAAACCAGAGGCUGUGCGACGAACGGCGACACCAAGAAAAAAAUGAAGAGACCCGAGAUCCUUCAUCUUGAAUUCAGUGCUGAGAGAAGCGAUGAUCAUCCGAAGAAACGGUGUCGAGGAAGCUGUGACACUAGUGCAGAACCGGGCAAUAGCGCCGGUUCGUAAGGCCCUUUAGUGCCGGUUCCAUAACCGACACUAAAGUGUGGGCACUAAAGGCCCCCCCCCCCCUUUAGUACCGGUUCAGCACGAACCGGUGNNNNNNNNNNNNNNNNNNNNNNNNNNNNNNNNNNNNNNNNNNNNNNNNNNNNNNNNNNNNNNNNNNNNNNNNNNNNNNNNNNNNNNNNCAUUUAAUUUUGUGUUUCCAUUUUAAUUCUUUUUCGUUUGCUGGUAUUUCACGAUACUAUACAUUGUACACGUUAUGCAUAUAUAUAUAUAUACAUACAUAUAUAUAUAUAUACAUAUACAUAUAUGUAUAUAUAUAUAUAUAAAUAGAAUUUCUAGUAGAACCAAUCAUGCAUAUAUAUAUAUCAUCAAUGUCUCACAAACCAUCAUAUUAAUUAAUUCACACAUACACACAUGUAUAGCUAUAUACAAUUUCUCCUACAUAUGCAUGUUGCCUUCGGAGCCAGUGGCAUUAGCCUAAUUGGUGCCUUCGGAGCACGAUGACAAUUGGAAGUGGUUUUCAUGGGGGCGGUAGCGGGUAAUAGUAUUCUCCCUUCGGAUUUAUGACCUGGUCGAGCAAAAAUCCCGCUAUUUCCUCUUGAAGUGCUUCUACGCGCUCCGUUUCUAGGAGCUUCGCCCGCACCUCUCUGAACUGUUAAGGAGGAGAUCAAUAUGCAUGUGUAUUAGUUGUGUGACUAGAUAUCGAUAAUGGUGUAAAAAUUGUGAAUAGUGUUUUGACAAGCAUAUCCAUUCCUGUCUUUGAGAUCUGCUCCUUUCGGACGCCAUCAUGCGAAUGCUCUCGCAAACGCAGAAUGCACACAGAUCAGUCCCCUGCGCCUGCUUCAGGGCCUUUACGAGAAUGGAAUUUGAUCAGAUAAUAAUUAAUCAAGCAUGAUAAUUAAAGAGAUGGCAGCUAGCUAGCUAGCUAGUACUACUUAAUUACUUACCUUGGGUCUUCCCCAUUUAAGCUUUUCUUUCCAUUCGCCGUCCGUGACCCUGAUGAACCUUGCCCAAGCCCUGCCCGCCGAAAAAGAAAAUGAAUAAAGGGGUUAUUAAAUAGUUCAUAUCAUGAAAUGAUGAACUAAAUAGGCCGAGAUAUAUAGUUAAUAAUGAUUGAAAUUACCUGUUGACUAUCCCAAACAAGAUGUUAUAGUCAGUUUUUUCUUUGAGUAGUGAAUCCAGUAUUUCAACUGUUCCGGCGUCAACUUUAAUGAUACACAAGACCCAGUGAUAUCUGCAUGCACACACGUUUGCAUGUCUUAAUUAAGCGGGCAUAUGUAAGCAAAAACAUGUAGCUAGCUAGUAGGCAAAAACAGAGAAUUUGUAGUACAAGACAGUGUGACUCACUGGAAGUUGUAAGGAAGUAGUAUAUAUUCAUUGUAUUUGAGGCGCUUCAAGAACUCUAGCAUGCUGUCCUCUACGGCCUUUUGAUGACGUUCAUCUAUUUUCCAUGUGUAUUCAUUAACGGUGUUUGGGUCAAUGAACCCAAUGCCAUAGUGUCUACCUUUUCUCAUUUCAUACAUCUUCAUCCUGCAUAUAAUACCACAGAAAAGAAUAUAGUAAGGAUAAUUACAGUUAAUGAUAAGGAUCACUACAGCUAGCUUGAGACUUAAAUUACAGAAAGAAAUCACUUAUAGACAAUAGCAACUGACGAGAGAUUUGUCAAGUGCGUCUUGAUUGUAUAACUGAAACAGUUCAGAAUACUCAACGGACACAGCUUUCUCAUGGUAGUAAUGAUCCUUCUUGACAUUCACCAUGAGGGACAAUCGAUCGGAAAUCUUGGUAAUGUUCAUCUACCAUUGAUGCAAUUCAUACAUUCUCGUUGGGAGGUUCUUGACCUUGUCUGGCUCGACCAAAGGUUGGCCCCGGACAUAUUUUCGUUUUAUUUCAUCCUCUCUAAGCAUAGGCAUGGGCUCGAUCUCGAGGAGUUGUCCAACAGUGAUUUUGAGAACUUUAGCCUGCAUUAUAUGCUCCUCCGUUAUUACCACAUUUCCCACCUUAGGAACAUAAACUGUUUGCCCACAAUAAUAUUGGGCGCGCGUACUGUCACGUGUUGUUGGCACAACAAGCGAGGGGAUCGAUUGCACCGCCUGUUCUCCCAGCUGGGGAAUGGUUUUCCCGCAUUUUUUGUAAGCUGCUUCUUGUUUGCUCGAUCUCGAGCUCGCCUCCUUACGUACACGUGCUCGAUUUAACUUCCUGAUGUGGCACUCAUAGUCUGUGUCAACAGGCUCGGGAGCUGGUGGUUGAGCCAUACGAAUGAAGUGGUCAAUCGUUUCCUCAGGCACUUUCUCCCUUAGCGGUGUUGGCGGUUUCGGUGCAAAAUGGGCUUCCACCUCGGACUUGGAUAUGGCUGCGAUUUCCUCCUCGGACCUGUCAUAAGCCCUCUACGGAAGAGGCGUGAGGCUUGGACCAUAUUUAUAUCGUUUGCCUCCGCCUGUACUUCCUGUACUACCUCGACUCGUACCGCUACGCACCAUAGCUGCGGGGUGUCUCUUUUGUGAUUGCUGAGGCGGCGGAGACGGCUGACGGGGCUGAGUUGGACGAGGAGGAGUGGCCGUCUGAAGCUGUGCCGGACUUGGAGGAGGAGUGGCCUGAGCUUGUGCCAGACUUGGAGGAGGAGUGGAUGUCUGACGCUGUGGCGGACUUGGAGGAGGAGGAGUGGCCUGACACUUUGCCGGACUUGGAGGAGGAGUGGCCUGACACUUUGCCGGACUUGGUAGACUUGCAGGAGCGGGAGACUGCUGACUCGGUGGCGGACUUCGACAAGGAGUCGGCUGACGCGGUGUUGGUGGACUUCGAAUGAUGAUGCAAUCCUUUUUCCAUAGGAUGAUACGAUGUUUGGCGUCUCCGAGAAAGCGCUCGUCGUCACCUCCAGGAUAGUCAAGCUCUAGCUCCGAAUAUGGGUCCACCACCUCAUCAACCAAGACACGAGCAUAGCCCGCUGGAAUCGGGUUGCAAUGGAAGGUUGCCUCGGGGGGAUUUGUAAAAGCAACGGCGUCCGCCACCUUCAUGGAUAUGUUCUUCAUUUUGACGUGUAGCUCGCAGCUAGUGUUCUCCGUGAUGUCAUCCACGGGGUAUCUACCCAGCAUUGCGUCGUCCGGGGUGAAACCCACACUGCUUCUCGGCAUGGAUGGGGCGGUGCUAUCCAAUGCUGGAUCAUUCGCUAGCUGCUGCAGCUGCUGAGACCCCCUUUGCUGGGUAAGUGAGUCGAUCUGCUCCUACUGCCGCUGGAAUUUGACUACCAAUUCCGCUUGACUUGCUUCUACGCCUUGAAGGCGUUCAUAGUCCCGCUUCCUCUGCUCCUCCUCCAUCUUCCUCUUCUUCUCCUCCGCAAUCUUCUUUCUCGCCCGGGUUCUGUAGUCGGUGUUCCAGUCUGAGAACCCCUCAUACCAUGGAAUAGCGCCCUUGCCUCGUGUUCUUCCCGGGUGUUCAGGAUUUCCCAGGGCAUGCGUAAGCUCGUCGUUCUCUCUGUUGGGCUGAAACACCCCCGAUCGUGCCUCUUCUAUUGCAACAAGUAUCGCAUCGUCGGCUCCCUUCAGACUUGCCCUCGUCGAAACAUUGCCUGUCUUUGGGUCCAACUCCCCCCCAUGCGCAUAGAACCAAGUCCUGACCUUGGGGGGCUAGCUCUUAGUAACCGGAGUGGCACCUGCAUCCUCCAUCUCUUUCUCAGACUUAUCCCACUUAGGCAUUGCCACCGCAUAGCCACCUGGCCCCAGCUUAUGGAACUUAUCCUUUUUUUCAGCAUUCUUCUUGUUUAUUCUCGACCGUUCCUUAGCUAAUUCCGAAUCCUUGAAUUUCACGAAAUCGUCCCAAUGAGCAUGUUGAUUCUCUAGUGUUCCCUCGAAUACUGGAGUCUUCCUUCCUCCCUUGACGUACUUGUCCCAUUCACGAUUCUUGUGGUUCUUGAAUGCAACCUCCAUCUUCCUAAGAGCAGCGUCCUUGACUUUCUGCACAUAUGCUUCAGUGAAAUGAUCUGGUAGGGUGAAAUGUUCCAUGAGAGUAUCCCAAAGCAGAUCUUUUUGAUUCUUGUCGACAAAAGUAACAUCUGAACGUGGAGCAGCGUCCUCUUUGCCUUUUUGUCUUUUGUCUUUUGCUGGCUGUCUCCAUUCUUGAAGGGAGAUCGGGAGUUGGUCCUUCACAAGAACUCCGCACUGACGAAUGAACUUGUCCGCAAUCUUCUUAGGUGCUAAUGGUUCGCCAUUAGGUCUGACUGCCUCGAUAUUGUACUUUACGCCCUCCUUCAACUUUUUGUUCGGGCCUCGUUUCGUCCUUUUGCCUGAAGAUUUGCUCGAUCCGGAUGGAUGAAAGAACAAAGAUCGAUUCAUUAAUAUAUCUUCAAGUCAUUUAAAACAUGUGAUGAUCACCGGAUACCUGCUUAUAUAAAUAUAUAUACCUCGCCGGUCUUUGUUGUUUCAGGAUCAACAUGUUCUUCGUCAUCGUCAUAAUCGUAGUUCACGACUUCAUCAAUUCGGUCGUCGCGAUCAAAUAUCAUAUCACCCUCUCCGGUGUUGUUUAGAAAUUUGGAGCCUUCAUAAUCUUCUUCAUUCUGAUCAUCAUUUGGCCCGUGUAUCAUAUCGAACAUGGUCUGUUCUCCCUCUCUGUCGGUAUUGUCUGCCAUAGCUUUUAUUUAACUAAUUCAAAAGAAAUAUAAAACAAUUUAGUAUUCAAAUUACAUCGUCUCGAAUAAUAGAUAUAAUCUCGAAUACUUCGUCUAGAAUAAUAGAUAUAAUCUCGAAUACAUCAUCUCAAAUAAUAUAUAAUAUUGAAUAGUACAUCACUAGCUAGCUAAUUAAAGAUCGAAUACUACAGAAGAAUCUAGGACACUCGCAGUUCCUACGGCGCGGGCGGUGGACACCCAAAGAGAAGGAACCCUCACAGGAUCAUAGCUGAAGUGAGAUCCCCGAAGAUACUGCCAGGUAUUGGAGAACCUGCCGCCCUCUAACGCAACCAUGUAGCGAUGGACGUGCUCGUCCUCCUCCCUAACACGGCGACGUACCACCUCCGGCGGGGCCGGGUCCCUCCGCACCGAAACUGGCCCACGCGAACGCCACCAAAUGAGAUCAGGGUCGACGACGGGACCCGGGGCCGGGUUCCUCAUCAAGCGGCGCGCCCCUCCAGGCAGCACCUCCCAGUGCCAGCCCGGCGGAGCCCAGUCUCAGACAUGGGUCGGCUGGACGUCGUCGCGGACGGAUCGACGGCGAGGAUGCGGGCCGGGCAUCGUCGAGAACAAAUACUAGCUAUAUGCCCGCAAAAAGUAACAUUUUUUUAAUGAUUGGAUUUUGAUAACUAAAAUUUCUAACAUUUCUAUAUAACACUAAUUAUGCUAAUCUAAAUAAUCUAAAUAACACUAAAAUUUCUAACAUUUCUAACAUUUCUAUAUAACACUAAUUUCUAACAUUUCUAUAUAACACUAAUUUCUAACUGAUUAAACACUAAUUAUAUCCAUCUAACAUGCAUUCAUACAUAUAUAAUAGUGAAAAAAUAAUAAUCUAAAUAAUCUAAACUAAUUAAACAUACAAAAUACGUGUGUGUGUUUACUAAUUAAACACUAAUUAUCUAAACUAAUUAAACAUACAAAAUAAUAAUCUAAAUAAUCUAAACUAAAUAAAGACUAAUUAUCUAAACUAAUUAAACAUGCUUGUGUGUGUGUGUGUACGGGCUCGGGGAGGGCUCACAGCGGGUGACGGCGACGACGAGGCGACGGCGAGGCGACGGCGAGGCGAUGGCGAGGCAGGCGACGGGGACGGCGAGGCGACGGCGGGGACGGCGUGACGGGGACGGGGACGGCGCGACGGGGACGGGCCCGGGGCGGCGACGGAGACGAGGGCGGCGAUGGGGACGGGGGCGGCGACGGGGACGGGCAGCGACGGAGACAAUCGAGGGCGGCAGCGACGUCGACGGAGACGGAAACAGAGGAAUGAACAGAGAGGGAAACUGAAAUUUUCGUAGCCGUUGUAUAUAUAGAAGGCACCUUUAGUACCGGUUGGAACCACCAACCGGUACUAAAGGCUUGUUUUGGCCAGGCCAAGCGGCGGGAAGCGACCCCCUUUAGUACCGGGUGGUGGCACACACCGGUACUAAAGGCCCCCCCUUUAGUACCGGUUUGUGCCACGACCAGGUACUAAAGGGGGUGCGCUGGCGCAGGUGCGGUGCGGCAACUUUAGUCCCACCUCGCUAGCCGAGGGGCGACCGCACUGGUUUAUAAACCCCCAUGCGGUCGCUCUCUCGAGCUCCUCUCCAAAGCAGGCUUACUGGGCCUACGUGUUCUUUGCAGCCCUGUGGGCCCACUUGGCCUUUGCGGGCCUGCAUCCUGGCCCAACGACAGGUUGGGUUUCUAGUCGUACGCAGACCGCUCUGGCCUAGUAAGCGGGCUAAUUUUAUUUUAUUUUUUGCUUUAUUUAUUUUUGUGUUGUUUUUUUUGUGUAUUUAGAGUUUCUUUGUGAACAUUUUUGUUUUAGGUACAAAAAAUUACAAACUUUCUGUUAGGGUUUUUUUUAUUAUUUUUUUGCUUUAUUUAUUUUUGUGUUUUUUUGUGUAUUUAGAGUUUCUUUGUGAACAUUUUUGUUUUAGGUACAAAAAAUUACAAACUUUCUGUUAGUGCCCGUAGUUUUCAAAUUUGAAUAGUUUAAAUUUUGAAUUAUUUGAAAUUAGUGUGAAUCACUAGUUUGUGAAUAACUUAACUUUAAAAAUCAGUAAAGGCAUGAAAGAAUUUGUUUUCACAUAAAAUUUCUUCGCGUUUCAAAUGCCAAAACACAUAACUACCCUAACUAUUAUAGAGAUUCCCCUCUCGGUGCGAAACACAGAAGAAAGUGAUGAUAGCUAGUGAAGCCGAUCACAUCCCAGAUCUUUGGGUGUGAAACUUUUUCUUCGCGUGUGUCCCUUUGCGCCGUAACCACGGAAAAUCUUCAUCACUUAACGGGAUGCUCGGGUCAAUAUUCACUGUGAAUGGAGCAAUUUCAUCAAACUUUUCAUAAUCUUUUGACUUGUCUGUCUUGUCAUCCACUCCCACGAUGUUUCUCUUCCCAGAAAGAACUAUGUGCCGCUUUGGCUCAUCGUACGAUGCAUUCGCUUCCUUAUCUUUUCUUUUUCUUGGCUUGGUAGACAUGUCCUUCACAUAGAAAACCUGUGCCACAUCAUUGGCUAGGACGAAUGGUUCUUCUGCAUACGCAAGAUUGUUGAGAUCCACUGCUGUCAUUCCGUACUGCGGGUCUUCCGUUACCCCGCCUCGUGUCAUAUUGACCCAUUUGCACCGAAACAAAGGGACCUUUAAACCACGUCGAUAGUCAAGUUCCCAUAUGUCAUGUAUAUAACCAUAAUAUGUUUCCUUUCCCGUCUUGGUUUCUGCAUCAAAGUGGACACCACUGUUUUGGUUGGUGCUCUUCUUAUCUUGGGCGAUCGUGUAAAAUGUAUUACCAUUUAUCCCGUACCCUUUGAAAGUCAUUAUAUUCGAAGAUGAUAACUGGGACAGCAAGUACAGGUCAUCUUCAAUAGAGGUGUCAUGCAUGGUACGUGUCUGCAACCAGCUGGCGAAACUCCUGGUUUGUUCACGUGUAAUCCAGUCAUCAGACCGCUCCGAGUGUUUGGAGCGUAGCAAAUUCUUGUGUUCAUCCAUAUACGGAGCCACCAAGGCGGAAUUCUGUAGAACUGUGUAGUGUGCUUCAGUGAGAGAAUGUCCGUCCAUACAUAUUAUUUGUUCCCCUCCUAGCGUGCCUUUUCCAUCCAGUCUGCCCUUAUGCCGCGAUUCAGGAACACCAAUCGGAUUAAGGUCAGGAAUAAAGUCAAUACAAAACUCAAUGACCUCCUCAUUUUGAUGGCCCUUGGAGAUGCUUCCUUCUGGCCUAGCACGAUUAUGAACAUAUUUCUUUAAGACUCCCAUGAACCUCUCAAAGGGGAACAUAUUGUGUAGAAAUACAGGACCCAAAACGUUAAUCUCUUGGCACAGGUGAACUAGGACGUGUGUCAUGAUGUUGAAGAAGGAUGGUGGGAACACCAACUCGAAACUGACAAGACAUUGCACCAAAUCAUUCUAUAACCUUGGUAUGAUUUCUGGAUCGAUUACCUUCUGAGAGAUUGCAUUGAGAAAUGCACAUAGCUUCACAAUGGCUAAUCGAACGGUUUCCGGUAGAAGCCCCCUCAAUGCAACCGGAAGCAGUUGCGUCAUAAUCACGUGGCAGUCAUGAGACUUUAGGUUCUGGAACUUUUUCUCUGCCAUGUUUAUUAUUCCCUUUAUAUUCGACGAGAAGCCAGACGGUACCUUAAUACUGAGCAGGCAUUCAAAGAAGAUUUCCUUCUCUUCUUUGGUAAGAGCGUAGCUUGCAUGACCCUGAUGUAUGCCGUCUUCUCCGUGCAUACGUUGCUGGUCCUCCCGUGCCUCAGGUGUAUCUUUUAUCUUCCCAUACACGCCCAAGAAGCCAAGCAGGGUCACGCAAAGAUUCUUCGUCACGUGCAUCACGUCGAUUGCGGAGCGGACCUCUAGGUCUUUCCAAUAUGGCAGGUCCCAAAAUAUAGAUUUCUUCUUCCACAUGGGUGCGCGUCCGUCAGCGUCCUUUGGAACAGAUUGUCCGCCAGGACCCUUUCCAAAUAUCACCUUCAAAUCCUUGACCAUAUCAUGUACAUCAGCACCAGUACGGUGGCGAGGCUUCGUCCGGUGAUCCGCCUCACCUUUGAAAUGCUUGCCUUUCUUUCUUACGGGAUGCCUGCUCGGAAGAAAUCGACGAUGUCCCAGGUACACAUUCUUCUUACAACUAUUUAAAUAUAUACUGUCGGUAUCAUUCAAACAGUGCAUGCAUCUGUGGUAUCCCUUGUUUGUCUGUCCUGAAAGGUUACUGAGAGCAGGCCAAUCAUUGAUGGUCACGAACAGCAAUGGCUUUAGGUCAAAUUCUUCCUGUUUGUGCUCAUCCCAUGCACGUACACCUGUUCCAUUCCACAGUUGUAAGAGUUCUUCAACUAAUGGCCUUAGAUACACAUCAAUGUCAUUGCCGGGUUGUUUAGGGCCUUGGAUGAGCACUGGCAUCAUAAUGAACUUCCGCUUCAUGCACAACCAAGGAGGAAGGUUAUACAAACAUAGAGUCACAGGCCAGGUGCUAUGGUUGCUGCUCUGCUCCCCAAAAGGAUUAAUGCCAUCUGCGCUUAGACCAAACCAUACGCUCCUUGUGUCAUCUGCAAACUCCUUCCCAUACUUUUUUUUGAUUUUUCUCGACUGCGACCCGUCAGCGGGUACUCUCAACUUUCCGUCUUUCUUACGGUCUUCUCUGUGCCAUCGCAUCGCCUUGGCAUGCUCUUUGUUUUGGAACAAACGUUUCAACCGUGGUAUUAUAGGAGAAUACCACAUCACCUUGGCAGGAAUCUUCUUCUUGGGGCGCUCGCCCUCGACAUCACCAUGUUCAUCGCAGCUGAUCUUAUAGCGCAAUGCACCACAUACCGGGCAAGCGUUCAAAUCCUCGUACUCACCGCGGUAGAGGAUGCAAUCAUUAGGGCAUGCAUGUAUCCUCUGCACCUCUAACCCUAGAGGGCAGACAUCCUUCUUUGCUUCGUACGUACUCUCGGGCAAUUCGUUGUCCUUUGGAAGCAUAUCCUUUAUCAUUACCAACAACUUUCCAAAUCCCUUGUCAGACACACCAUUCUCUGCCUUCCAUUGCAGCAAUUCCAGUGUGGUGCCCAGCUUUUUCUUGUCACCUACGCAAUUCGGGUACAACAAUUUUUUGUGAUCCUCUAACAUGCGCUGCAACUUCUUCUCCAAAUCACUUGCGCAGUUUCUCUUUGCAUUGGCAAUGGCCCGACCUAGAUCAUCAACGGGCUCAUCUGAUGCCUCUUCUUCAGCUUCUUCCCGCAUUGUCGGCUCAGCUUCUUCCCGCAUUACCGGCUCAGCUUCUUCCCCCAUUGUUGUAUCAUCGUAUUCAGGGAACCCAUGGCCAGGAUAGCUGUCGUCGUCCUCUUCCUCUUCAUUGUCUUCCAUCAUAACCCCUCUUUCUCCGUGCUUGGUCCAAACAUUAUAGUGGGGCAUGAAACCGGACUCAAACAGGUGAUGUGAAUGGUUCUUGACGUAGAGUCAUUGCGACCAUUCUUACAGCCAGCACAUGGACAAGGCAUAAAACCAUCCGCCCGCUUGUUUGCCUCAGCCGCAAGCAAAAAAGUAUGCACGCCCUCAACGAACUGGGGAGAGCAUCGGUCAUCGUACAUCCAUUGCCGGCUCAUCUUCAUUACACAACACCGAAUAGACCAAAUUAAUACAAGGUCAUACAUAAAGUUCAUACAACACUUAAAUGCAACAAACAAAUAACUCUCUAGCUAAAGCAUUUAAAUGCAACAACAAAUGCGAUCAAGAUCACAACUAAGGUAAGAAUUGAUCCAACAGCAUAAUGAUACCAAGCCUCACAAUCGAUGGCAUAUUUUCUAAUCAUUUUAAUCUUCAAGCGCAUUUUCUCCUUCUUGAUCUUGUGAUCAUCGAUGACAUCGGCAACAUGCAACUCCAAUUCCAUCUUCUCCCCCUCAAUUCUUUUCAAUUUUUCUUUCAAGUACUCGUUUUCUCUUUCAACUAAAUUUAACCUCUCGACAAUAGGGUCGCUUGGAAUUUCCGGUUCACAUACCUCCUAGAUAAAAAUAUCUAUGUCAACUUGAUGGGCAUAAUUUGUCAUAAACACGAAAUGCAACAAAUAGUUUUAAAAGAGAAUAUACCACAUCCGAAUCAUAACAAGGACGAGGGCCGACGGGGACGGAUAUCAAAACCAUGGCACUAUGUAUAACAAACAACGUACGGGUAAGAUAAUUAUUAUACGAGUAACUAUAUAUCCAAAUCACACAAACAUCAAUUUUUUAUAUAAAAUUUCAUGAACAAGAGGCUCACCACAAGGUGGUGCCGGCGACGGGACGGUGCGGGCGAUCGACGGUGGUUACGACGGAGAUUUAGAAGGCACUAAGUAAACCACACCUACAUAUGCAAACUAAGUGUUAUUUUAACCUCAAAUUGCAUAUAAAUCAAAUACUAGCACAUAUAUAUAUUUCCUCCCAAAUUAAUAACUAUAUAAAGCAUUGCAAGAGCUAAUAUAGCAAUGAGAGAUGAAAGGACAAAGUUGCUAACCUUUGUGAUCAUUUGAAUGGAUGGGGGCCUUCAAAUGUUGACAAAUUUUGGGCAAAAUGUGUGAUGAGCUCGAGAGGAAGAGGGGAAGAACAGAGAGGAGAGGGGAAAGGGGAAGAACAGAGCGAGCUCGGGUGGACGAAGGGUUUAUGUAGGACGACCUUUAGUACCGGUUCGUGCCAAGAACCGGUACUAAAGGUGCUGGAGGGGGCCCAGACUGACAACAUCCUGCCACCACUCUCAUUAGUACCGGUUCGUGGCACGAACCAGUGCUAAAGGUUAGCCACGAACCGGUACUAAUGAGAGCGGCCCGACUAGCCGUUGGAACCAGCACUAAUGUAUACAUUUGUGCCGGCUCAAAUACAAACCGGCACUAAUGUGCUUCACGUUUGACCCUUUUUCUACUAGUGUGAGUACAAUGUCAUCAACAUAAAGGAGCAAGUAAGCCAUGUCGGAGCCACGACGGAGCACAAAGAGCGAGGUGUCUGAAAGAGCCGCAGUGAAACCAAGGUGCCGAAGAAAAUCACCAAUGCGUGUGUACCAGGCGCGUGGGGCCUGUUUCAAUCCAUAAAGUGACUUGGACAGUAGGCAAACAUGCUCGGGAUGGUCAGCAUCGAUGAAACCCGUCGGUUGAGCACAAUAAACACGCUCAUGCAAAACUCCAUGAAGAAACGCAUUGGAUACGUCCAGCUGACGUACCGGCCAAUGUCGAGAAGCAGCAAGAUGCAAAACUGUGCGAAUUGUGGCUGGUUUGACGACAGGACUGAAAGUCUCACCAAAAUCAAUGCCGGCACGCUGUGUGAAUCCUCGAACGACCCAACGAGCUUUAUAGCGAUCCAAGGAACCAUCAGGUUUGAGUUUAUGUCGAAAGACCCAUUUACCGGUGACGAUGUUGGCACCCCGAGGUCGAGGGACAAGAGUCCAUGUGUGAUUAGCUUGGAGAGCAUCAUACUCCUCUCGCAUGGCAGAAUGCCAUGCGGGAUCAUGAAGUGCCGCACGGGCAGACGUCGGUAGCGGCGAGAGCACAAUAGUAGCCGUAUGAGCAUCCUCAAAACGCCUGUUAGGCUGAAGAACGCCAUGACGCGCACGUGUAGUCAUUGUGUGGAUUGGCACAUCAGAGGGACGGAGCCAUGGAGCAGCACGUGGGGGUACCACCGAAGCUGGCGGCGGCAUAGGUGCGGCAAGCUCAAUGGCAGGGCCGGAGGACACCACAGGGGACGACGAUGACGGGCUGGUAGUGGCUGCUGUAGAGCUGCUGGAGGCAGCAAGCGCGGUGCCAGAAGUUGCUGGCACUGGUGACCCAGGGGCGUCACUGCUGGAUGAGAUGGCAGCCGUGGCACCACCAUUCGCUGGCAUGGCAGCGGAAGUGGUUGUCGCUGCAGCUGAGUCAGGUGACCCAGGGGCAUCACUGGGAGAGGUGUCUGCCGUGGCACCACCAUUAGCUGCCAUGGCAGCGGAAGUGGCUGCCGCGGCAGGCGAGCUGAGUGGCCCUGGUGAAGUGGCAACAGCCGUGGCUGGACUGCCGGCGGCCCGCGUAGCGGCCGGCAUGCCACGACGUCGAGCGGCCGGUGGGGCGGGCACCACAACAUGUUCAGGCUGAGAAGGCCCAACCAGUGGUGAGGGAGACUCCUGCUGCAUGUUCCUGAAAGGGAAAACACACUCGUCGAAAACAACAUGGCAUGAUGUUAGCACACGGCGACCGGCCAGAUCAUAGCAGCGGUAUCCACGGUGAUCAGGAGGGUAUCCGAAGAAAACACAAGCGACGGAGCGGGGUGAAAGUUUAUGAGGAGCAGUGGCAGUGGUGUUGGGAUAGCAUAGGCAUCCAAAAACGCGAAGAUGAGAGUAGUCUGGUGGGGAACCAAAGAGAAGUUGAUGGGGCGGAAGAUUGUUGCGUGGACGACAAGGUCGGAAAUUGAGAAGAUAGGUCGCGGUAUUGAGUGCUUCAGCCCAAAACCUAGGGGGCAUAUGAGCAUGAAAUAAUAGAGUACGCACACUAUCAUUCAAGGUGCGAAGUAUGCGUUCGGCGCGACCGUUUUAUUGCGAGGUGUAUGGGCAUGUGAGACGAAGGUGAAUGCCGUGUUGUGCAAAGAAGUCACGUGAAGCAUGGUUAUCAAAUUCACGACCAUUGUCGGUUUGAAAAGCUAAGAUGUAGCGCUGAAAUUGGGUGGCGACAAAGGCUUGAAAGCGAGAGAUAAUGGGAAACACAUCUGAUUUACGACGCAAAGGAAAAGUCCAAACAUAAUGAGAGUAGUCAUCUAGCACACACCGGUACUAAAGGCCCCCCCUUUAGUACCGGUUUGUGCCACGACCCGGUACUAAAGGGGGUGUGCUGGCGCAGGUGCGGUGCGGCAACUUUAGUCCCACCUCGCUAGCCGAGGGGCGACCGCACUGGUUUAUAAACCCCCAUGCGGUCGCUCUCUCGAGCUCCUCUCCAAAGCAGGCUUACUGGGCCUACGUGUUCUUUGCAGCCCUGUGGGCCCACUUGGCCUUUGCGGGCCUGCAUCCUGGCCCAACGACAGGUUGGGUUUCUAGUCGUACGCAGGCCGCUCUGGCCUAGUAAGCGGGCUAAUUUUAUUUUAUUUUUUGCUUUAUUUAUUUUUGUGUUGUUUUUUUUGUGUAUUUAGAGUUUCUUUGUGAACAUUUUUGUUUUAGGUACAAAAAAUUACAAACUUUCUGUUAGGGUUUUUUCAUUAUUUUUUUGCUUUAUUUAUUUUUGUGUUUUUUUUGUGUAUUUAGAGUUUCUUUGUGAACAUUUUUGUUUUAGGUACAAAAAAUUACAAACUUUCUGUUAGUGCCCGUAGUUUUCAAAUUUGAAUAGUUUAAAUUUUGAAUUAUUUGAAAUUAGUGUGAAUCACUAGUUUGUGAAUAACUUAACUUUAAAAAUCAGUAAAGGCAUGAAAGAAUUUGUUUGCACAUAAAAUUUCUUCGCGUUUCAAAUGCCAAAACACAUAACUACCAUAACUAUUAUAGAGAUUCCCCUCUCGGUGCGAAACACAGAAGAAAGUGAUGAUAGCUAGUGAAGCCGAUCACAUCCCAGAUCUUUGGGUGUGAAACUUUUUCUUCGCGUGUGUCCCUUUGCGCCGUAACCAUGGAAAAUCUUCAUCACUUAACGGGAUGCUCGGGUCAAUAUUCACUGUGAAUGGAGCAAUUUCAUCAAACUUUUCAUAAUCUUCUGACUUGUCUGUCUUGUCAUCCACUCCCACGAUGUUUCUCUUCCCAGAAAGAACUAUGUGCCGCUUUGGCUCAUCGUACGAUGCAUUCGCUUCCUUAUCUUUUCUUUUUCUUGGCUUGGUAGACAUGUCCUUCACAUAGAAAACCUGUGCCACAUCAUUGGCUAGGACGAAUGGUUCUUCUGCAUACGCAAGAUUGUUGAGAUCCACUGCUGUCAUUCCGUACUGCGGGUCUUCCGUUACCCCGCCUCGUGUCAUAUUGACCCAUUUGCACCGAAACAAAGGGACCUUUAAACCACGUCGAUAGUCAAGUUCCCAUAUGUCCUGUAUAUAACCAUAAUAUGUUUCCUUUCCCGUCUUGGUUUCUGCAUCAAAGUGGACACCACUGUUUUGGUUGGUGCUCUUCUUAUCUUGGGCGAUCGUGUAAAAUGUAUUACCAUUUAUCCCGUACCCUUUGAAAGUCAUUAUAUUCGAAGAUGAUAACUGGGACAGCAAGUACAAGUCAUCUUCAAUAGAUGUGUCAUGCAUGGUACGUGUCUGCAACCAGCUGGCGAAACUCCUGGUUUGUUCACGUGUAAUCCAGUCAUCAGACCGCUCCGAGUGUUUGGAGCGUAGCAAAUUCUUGUGUUCAUCCAUAUACGGAGCCACCAAGGCGGAAUUCUGUAGAACUGUGUAGUGUGCUUCAGUGAGAGAAUGUCCGUCCAUACAUAUUAUUUGUUCCCCUCCUAGCGUGCCUUUUCCAUCCAGUCUGCCCUUAUGCCGCGAUUCAGGAACACCAAUCGGAUUAAGGUCAGGAAUAAAGUCAAUACAAAACUCAAUGACCUCCUCAUUUUGAUGGCCCUUGGAGAUGCUUCCUUCUGGCCUAGCACGAUUAUGAACAUAUUUCUUUAAGACUCCCAUGAACCUCUCAAAGGGGAACAUAUUGUGUAGAAAUACAGGACCCAAAACGUUAAUCUCUUGGCACAGGUGAACUAGGACGUGUGUCAUGAUGUUGAAGAAGGAUGGUGGGAACACCAACUCGAAACUGACAAGACAUUGCACCAAAUCAUUCUAUAACCUUGGUAUGAUUUCUGGAUCGAUUACCUUCUGAGAGAUUGCAUUGAGAAAUGCACAUAGCUUCACAAUGGCUAAUCGAACGUUUUCCGGUAGAAGCCCCCUCAAUGCAACCGGAAGCAGUUGCGUCAUAAUCACGUGGCAGUCAUGAGACUUUAGGUUCUGGAACUUUUUCUCUGCCAUGUUUAUUAUUCCCUUUAUAUUCGACGAGAAGCCAGACGGUACCUUAAUACUGAGCAGGCAUUCAAAGAAGAUUUCCUUCUCUUCUUUGGUAAGAGCGUAGCUUGCAUGACCCUGAUGUAUGCCGUCUUCUCCGUGCAUACGUUGCUGGUCCUCCCGUGCCUCAGGUGUAUCUUUUAUCUUCCCAUACACGCCUAAGAAGCCAAGCAGGGUCACGCAAAGAUUCUUCGUCACGUGCAUCACGUCGAUUGUGGAGCGGACCUCUAGGUCUUUCCAAUAUGGCAGGUCCCAAAAUAUAGAUUUCUUCUUCCACAUGGGUGCGCGUCCGUCAGCGUCCUUUGGAACAGAUUGUCCGCCAGGACCCUUUCCAAAUAUCACCUUCAAAUCCUUGACCAUAUCAUGUACAUCAGCACCAGUACGGUGGCGAGGCUUCGUCCGGUGAUCCGCCUCACCUUUGAAAUGCUUGCCUUUCUUUCUUACGGGAUGCCUGCUCGGAAGAAAUCGACGAUGUCCCAGGUACACAUUCUUCUUACAACUAUUUAAAUAUAUACUGUCGGUAUCAUUCAAACAGUGCAUGCAUCCGUGGUAUCCCUUGUUUGUCUGUCCUGAAAGGUUACUGAGAGCAGGCCAAUAAUUGAUGGUCACGAACAGCAAUGGCUUUAGGUCAAAUUCUUCCUGUUUGUGCUCAUCCCAUGCACGUACACCUGUUCCAUUCCACAGUUGUAAGAGUUCUUCAACUAAUGGCCUUAGAUACACAUCAAUGUCGUUGCCGGGUUGUUUAGGGCCUUGGAUGAGCACUGGCAUCAUAAUGAACUUCCGCUUCAUGCACAACCAAGGAGGAAGGUUAUACAAACAUAGAGUCACAGGCCAGGUGCUAUGGUUGCUGCUCUGCUCCCCAAAAGGAUUAAUGCCAUCUGCGCUUAGACCAAACCAUACGCUCCUUGCGUCAUCUGCAAACUCCUUCCCGUACUUUUUUUCGAUUUUUCUCCACUGCGACCCGUCAGCGGGUACUCUCAACUUUCCGUCUUUCUUACGGUCUUCUCUGUGCCAUCGCAUCGCCUUGGCAUGCUCUUUGUUUUGGAACAAACGUUUCAACUGUGGUAUUAUAGGAGAAUACCACAUCACCUUGGCAGGAAUCUUCUUCCUGGGGCGCUCGCCCUCGACAUCACCAUGUUCAUCGCAGCUGAUCUUAUAGCGCAAUGCACCACAUACUGGGCAAGCGUUCAAAUCCUCGUACUCACCGCGGUAGAGGAUGCAAUCAUUAGGGCAUGCAUGUAUCCUCUACACCUCUAACCCUAGAGGGCAGACAUCCUUCUUUGCUUCGUACGUACUCUCGGUCAAUUCGUUGUCCUUUGGAAGCAUAUCCUUAAUCAUUACCAACAACUUUCCAAAUCCCUUGUCAGAUACACCAUUCUCUGCCUUCCAUUGCAGCAAUUCCAGUGUGGUGCCCAGCUUUUUCUUGUCACCUACGCAAUUCGGGUACAACAAUUUUUUGUGAUCCUCUAACAUGCGCUGCAACUUCUUCUCCAAAUCACUUGCGCAGUUUCUCUUUGCAUUGGCAAUGGCCCGACCUAGAUCAUCAACGGGCUCAUCUGAUGCCUCUUCUUCAGCUUCUUCCCGCAUUGUCGGCUUAGCUUCUUCCCGCAUUACCGGCUCAGCUUCUUCCCCCAUUGUUGUAUCAUCGUAUUCAGGGAACCCAUGGCCAGGAUAGCUGUCGUCGUCCUCUUCCUCUUCAUUGUCUUCCAUCAUAACCCCUCUUUCUCCGUGCUUGGUCCAAACAUUAUAGUGGGGCAUGAAACCGGACUCAAACAGGUGAUGUGAAUGGUUCUUGACGUAGAGUCAUUGCAACCAUUCUUACAGCCAGCACAUGGACAAGGCAUAAAACCAUCCGCCCGCUUGUUUGCCUCAGCCGCAAGCAAAAAAGUAUGCACGCCCUCAACGAACUGGGGAGAGCAUCGGUCAUCGUACAUCCAUUGCCGGCUCAUCUUCAUUACACAACACCGAAUAGACCAAAUUAAUACAAGGUCAUACAUAAAGUUCAUACAACACUUAAAUGCAACAAACAAAUAACUCUCUAGCUAAAGCAUUUAAAUGCAACAACAAAUGCGAUCAAGAUCGCAACUAAGGUAAGAAUUGAUCCAACAGCAUAAUGAUACCAAGACUCACUAUCGAUGGCAUAUUUUCUAAUCUUUUUAAUCUUCAAGCGCAUUUUCUCCUUCUUGAUCUUGUGAUCAUCGACGACAUCGGCAACAUGCAACUCCAAUUCCAUCUUCUCCCCCUCAAUUCUUUUCAAUUUUUCUUUCAAGUACUUGUUUUCUCUUUCAACUAAAUUUAACCUCUCGACAAUAGGGUCGCUUGGAAUUUCCGGUUCACAUACCUCCUAGAUAAAAAUAUCUAUGUCAACUUGAUGGGCAUAAUUUGUCAUAAACACGAAAUGCAACAAAUAGUUUUAAAAGAGAAUAUACCACAUCCGAAUCAUAAAAAGGACGAGGGCCGACGGGGACGGAUAUCAAAACCAUGGCACUAUGUAUAACAAACAACGUACGGGUAAGAUAAUUAUUAUACGAGUAACUAUAUAUCCAAAUCACACAAACAUCAAUUUUUUAUAUAAAAUUUCAUGAACAAGAGGCUCACCACAAGGUGGUGCCGGCGACGGGACGGUGCGGGCGAUCGACGGUGGUUACGACGGAGAUUUAGAAGGCACUAAGUAAACCACACCUACAUAUGCAAACUAAGUGUUAUUUUAACCUCAAAUUGCAUAUAAAUCAAAUACUAGCACAUAUAUAUAUAUUUCCUCCCAAAUUAAUAACUAUAUAAAGCAUUGCAAGAGCUAAUAUAGCAAUGAGAGAUGAAAGGACAAAGUUGCUAACCUUUGUGAUCAUUUGAAUGGAUGGGGGCCUUCAAAUGUUGACAAAUUUUGGGCAAAAUGUGUGAUGAGCUCGAGAGGAAGAGGGGAAGAACAGAGAGGAGAGGGGAAAGGGGAAGAACAGAGCGAGCUCGGGUGGACGAAGGGUUUAUGUAGGACGACCUUUAGUACCGGUUCGUGCCAAGAACCGGUACUAAAGGUGCUGGAGGGGGCCCAGACUGACAACAUCCUGCCACCACUCUCAUUAGUACCGGUUCGUGGCACGAACCAAUGCUAAAGGUUAGCCACGAACCGGUACUAAUGAGAGCGGCCCGACUAGCCGUUGGAACCAGCACUAAUGUAUACAUUUGUGCCGGCUCAAAUACAAACCGGCACUAAUGUGCUUCACGUUUGACCCUUUUUCUACUAGUGUGAGUACAAUGUCAUCAACAUAAAGGAGCAAGUAAGCCAUGUCGGAGCCACGACGGAGCACAAAGAGCGAGGUGUCUGAAAGAGCCGCAGUGAAACCAAGGUGCCGAAGAAAAUCACCAAUGCGUGUGUACCAGGCGCGUGGGGCCUGUUUCAAUCCAUAAAGUGACUUGGACAGUAGGCAAACAUGCUCGGGAUGGUCAGCAUCGAUAAAACCCGUCGGUUGAGCACAAUAAACACGCUCAUGCAAAACUCCAUGAAGAAACGCAUUGGAUACGUCCAGCUGACGUACCGGCCAAUGUCGAGAAGCAGCAAGAUGCAAAACUGUGCGAAUUGUGGCUGGUUUGACGACAGGACUGAAAGUCUCACCAAAAUCAAUGCCGGCACGCUGUGUGAAUCCUCGAACGACCCAACGAGCUUUAUAGCGAUCCAAGGAACCAUCAGGUUUGAGUUUAUGUCGAAAGACCCAUUUACCGGUGACGAUGUUGGCACCCCGAGGUCGAGGGACAAGAGUCCAUGUGUGAUUAGCUUGGAGAGCAUCAUACUCCUCUCGCAUGGCAGAAUGCCAUGCGGGAUCACGAAGUGCCGCACGGGCAGACGUCGGUAGCGGCGAGAGCACAAUAGUAGCCGUAUGAGCAUCCUCAAAACGCCUGUUAGGCUGAAGAACGCCAUGACGCGCACGUGUAGUCAUCGUGUGGAUUGGCACAUCAGAGGGACGGAGCCAUGGAGCAGCACGUGGGGGUACCACCGAAGCUGGCGGCGGCAUAGGUGCGGCAAGCUCAAUGGCAGGGCCGGAGGACACCACAGGGGACGACGAUGACGGGCUGGUAGUGGCUGCUGUAGAGCUGUUGGAGGCAGCAACCGCGGUGCCAGAAGUUGCUGGCACUGGUGACCCAGGGGCGUCACUGCUGGAUGAGAUGGCAGCCGUGGCACCACCAUUCGCUGGCAUGGCAGCGGAAGUGGUUGUCGCUGCAGCUGAGUCAGGUGACCCAGGGGCAUCACUGGGAGAGGUGUCUGCCGUGGCACCACCAUUAGCUGCCAUGGCAGCGGAAGUGGCUGCCGCGGCAGGCGAGCUGAGUGGCCCUGGUGAAGUGGCAACAGCCGUGGCUGGACUGCCGGCGGCCCGCGUAGCGGCCGGCAUGCCACGACGUCGAGCGGCCGGUGGGGCGGGCACCACAACAUGUUCAGGCUGAGAAGGCCCAACCAGUGGUGAGGGAGACUCCUGCUGCAUGUUCCUGAAAGGGAAAACACACUCGUCGAAAACAACAUGGCAUGAUGUUAGCACACGGCGACUGGCCAGAUCAUAGCAGCGGUAUCCACGGUGAUCAGGAGGGUAUCCGAAGAAAACACAAGCGACGGAGCGGGGUGAAAGUUUAUGAGGAGCAGUGGCAGUGGUGUUGGGAUAGCAUAGGCAUCCAAAAACGCGAAGAUGAGAGUAGUCUGGUGGGGAACCAAAGAGAAGUUGAUGGGGCGGAAGAUUGUUGCGUGGACGACAAGGUCGGAAAUUGAGAAGAUAGGUCGCGGUAUUGAGUGCUUCAGCCCAAAACCUAGGGGGCAUAUGAGCAUGAAAUAAUAGAGUACGCACACUAUCAUUCAAGGUGCGAAGUAUGCGUUCGGCGCGACCGUUUUAUUGCGAGGUGUAUGGGCAUGUGAGACGAAGGUGAAUGCCGUGUUGUGCAAAGAAGUCACGUGAAGCAUGGUUAUCAAAUUCACGACCAUUGUCGGUUUGAAAAGCUAAGAUGUAGCGCUGAAAUUGGGUGGCGACAAAGGCAUGAAAGCGAGAGAUAAUGGGAAACACAUCUGAUUUACGACGCAAAGGAAAAGUCCAAACAUAAUGAGAGUAGUCAUCUAGCAUAACAAGAUAAUAUUGAAAACCCGAAACACUUGUGAUAGGAGAUGUCCAAACAUCGCAAUGGACAAGAGCAAAAGGAAAACUAGCUUGACUGUCGGACUGUUUAAAAGGUAAACGAACGUGCUUCCCCAAUCUACAAGCAUGACACGUUGUAGGAGGUGAUUUAUUACAAGUAAAAUCAAAAGAAGAAAGUGUCCUAGAGAGAGCAUCAUGUCCUGGGUGACCAAGGCGUUGGUGCCAAAGGUCAGUGGGGCCGGCAAGAAGUGCUUGAGGUCCAGUGAUGAGAGGGUAGAGGUCGCCGGAACUAUCACAUCGGAGAAUCACCGCACGGGUACGACGAUCCUUGACAGAAAAACCAAGCUCAUCAAAUUCAACAUUAACAGGAUUUGUACGAGUUAAAUGACGAACAAAAAUUAGGUUUUUAAUGAGAUUAGGAGUGACAACUACAUCACGUAAUGAAAGUGGAAAAGAUGAGGUAGGAAGAGAAGCGGUGCCGGUUUGAGUAAUAGGAAGAGAGUUUCCGUUUCCGAAGAUGACAGAAGAAAAAGUGGAGGAAGGGGAGAAGGAAGAUAGGAUAUCGGGAUCGCUGGCCAUGUGCGCAGUCGCGCCUGUGUCAAAAAACCAGUUGGAGCCACCACCACUAGCGGCACCCUGCUGCAAGGAGAGGUUGUUGAGGGCGGCGUGGAGCUGUGUUUGAUCCCAUGCAGGGGCCUGGUGUGGUGGAGGUGACGGAGUGUAGCCGUUGUAGCCCGGUGGAGCGCCGUAGCCCGGCUGCCCUAGAUGGGCAGUGUAGGCCUGGGGCGUGGAGACGCCGGGGUGUGGGCCGAGAAGACCGGUGCCAGGAGCACGCCAGUUGGGUGGCCAUGCCUGGAACAUGCCAGACAGUGGAUAGCUGCCGAUGGGCUAGAAGGGCGCGGCAUGGUCGCGCACAUUGGGAGCACUGGGGGCGCCAUGAGGAGCGCCAUGGCCCUGCUGUUGCUGCUGCUUCUUGCGGCCCUUGCCCCGGCCGCGACCACCAGACGAGGGAGCAGCAGGUGGUGUAGGCACGGCGGGACGGGGAGCCGGCGAAGCCAGCGAUGCAGGCGUGGGGGAGAAACGGUUGGCGACGAGGGCAGUCGCCUGGACAUGCUGAGUAUGGCGUGCAAGACGCCGUUCCUCCUGCAAAAGAGCACCGCGAGCACAGGCGAAGGUUAGUCCAGCGGGGUUGAUGGUGAGGGCAGCGAUGCAGUGGCCGAACUCGCCGUUCAACCCGUUGAUGAAGGUGGUGAGCAUGUCCUGGUCCGUGACCGGAGUGCCCACGUCACGAAGUGUGUCGGAGAGACACUUGAGGCGGCUCGCGAAGGCGGUGACGGAGAGAUCGCCCUGGACGAGGUUGAGGAAGUCACGCUUGGCGAAGAUGGAGCGCUGAAGACGAUUGUCGCGGAAGAGGUCGGUGAUGACGGUCCAAGCGUUGGCGGCGGUGUCGGAGGGCUUGAUGAUGAUCUCGAGAAUAUCCUUGGAGACAGUGGUGUAUAGCCAAGAGACGAUGCAUUGGUCGAUCUGGGUCCACUCGACGUCGCCGAGAGCCAUGAGGGCGUCAACGGAGCCAUCGAUAUGAUCAAGAAGACCGAGCUUGCGGAAGGUGAGAUUGAAGAAGGUCUGCCAUAUGCAAAAGUUAGACUCGUCGAAGUCAAGGAUGACGGUGACGUGGUUGCGGAUGUUGAUGAGCUGGAUGGCGGCGGCGCUAGGAGCAGCAGGGUUGACGGAGCUAGCGGCGAAGGGGUUGGACCCGGAGGAGGCGAGGGAGGAGUUGGGGGAGGAGGCGAAGUCGCCGAACUCUUCCAUGGCAGCAGCAGCGUGGAAGGGCUAGCGGCUGGGGUCUAGGGUUCAGCGGCGGCUGAGGUGUAGCGGAAGCAAGGCUCAGGAACUAGAGAAAACUGAUACCAUGUAAACUAGAGGAAUUUGAAGAAUAUUGUAUGCAUGUAUUACAGCCCAUAGGGCGCAUAUAUAUAGAGCUACAGAGCAAUCCUAUACUUGUCCUCCAAGAGCUAAUCCUAGUUAAAAGGAAAGGAUAGAUAUGGAGGUAGAGAUAGGAAGCUAAAGAUUACAUCACGUAUAUAUGCUAAUACAUGCUAACUUAUUCUUACAGACCGCAAUCAUACGCGCUCAAGACAAUAGUGGAGCGGAAGCGAUCAUUACUUUAGUGAUUUAGAAAGGGGAGUAUUACUUUACAGAGGGAGUACAUUGUAGUACUGUAGUAAUUUGGUUUUUCUUUGCAAUAUUUAGAGCAUAGAGAUAAUCUAGAGCAUUCUGGAGGGGAAUUAACCGGUAUGAAAUACUGAUGCAUAUAUAUAUUUUUCUGGCGUAAUUUGCUUCUAGGAUGCAGCAACCAUUUGAGAAAAUUUGAUACUUCCUCUGUCCUUAAUUAUUUGUCAGAUAAAUGGAUGUGAGGCGAACAAGGGUCCUCAAAAAGAUUUUUCUCCAAUUUCAAGAUAAUUUGCCAAACCGUCGAGAGCCAGGACGUGCAUCCAGUAGCAACUUUAACAUUGUCUACGCAUGAAACAAACCACCAAGAACAAGAGCAAAAGAGCCAGCUUCAUCUAUCACCACCAAGAACAAGAGCAAAAGAACCAGCUUCAUCUAUCUACCACUACAUCGUAGAGACAAACCCAGCUGGAUGAUCAACAUCUCAGGUGUAAGAAGAGAACAAGAGCUUCACAAUUCUGCAUCCAGUAUCCACUAUCACUACGUGUUGUAGAUCACCUAUGCAUGUACCAACUAGAUGUACCCUUUGUUGAUCACCUAUGCAUGUAUCAACUACAUGUACCCUAUCCUUGUAUGAACUACUUUGCUAUGUUCAAGUUUUGGGAGGACUUACCUGAUAUUUAGAAAAACUAAAUAGCUUAUUGAUCUACGUGGCGCGGCGUGCCGCCGCGC
rnacentral:lncRNA from 1 species